AUGGCAUCAUCCCUCAAGGCACUGCUUGUUGAGGAUAUUAAGGUUGACAGCAUGGUUCUCUCCUUCAUGCUACGCAGAUUUCACUGUGAGGUCACCCUGGCUAAGAAUGGGAAAGAAGCCGUUGAUAUGUUCCUUGAGGGUAACAAGUUCGACAUUGUUUUGUGUGAUAAGGACAUGCCCAUAAUGACCGGUCCCGAGGCAGUCAUGAAGAUCCGUGCUAUGGGAGCCACCGAUGUGAAGAUCGUCGGGGUGUCCGCUGAUGAUAACGCCAUGGAGGCGUUCAUGAGUGCCGGUGCUGAUGACUUUGUGCCCAAACCAAUGAGGCUUGAGGUUCUCGGGCCUAUGAUUGAGGAGGUCAUCAACAGGAAAAACAAUUAG
rnacentral:rRNA from 1 species